UGGUAAUGAUGUCUCAAUUCACGAUGGUCUGCAGAGCUUCUUGCUGCUGAAAAUGCCAAAUGAGCAGUUGCUGAACCAUAGUC